AUUGGACGCUGGCGGAAUGCUUUACACAUGCAAGUCGAACGGCAGCACGGGGCAACCUGGUGGCGAGUGGCGAACGGGUGAGUAAUAUAUCGGAACGUGCCCAAUCGUGGGGGAUAACGUAGCGAAAGUUACGCUAAUACCGCAUACGAUCUACGGAUGAAAGCGGGGGAUCGCAAGACCUCGCGCGAAUGGAGCGGCCGAUAUCAGAUUAGGUAGUUGGUGGGGUAAAGGCUCACCAAGCCAACGAUCUGUAGCUGGUCUGAGAGGACGACCAGCCACACUGGAACUGAGACACGGUCCAGACUCCUACGGGAGGCAGCAGUGGGGAAUUUUGGACAAUGGGCGCAAGCCUGAUCCAGCCAUUCCGCGUGCAGGAUGAAGGCCUCGGUUG
rnacentral:rRNA from 1 species